rnacentral:rRNA from 1 species
GGACCCGACUGCUAUCAAAGUGGGACUAACCCAUGCGAGUCAACAUAGCAAUAUGUGGCAUACGGCUCAGUAACACGUAGUCAACAUGCCCAGGGGACGUGGAUAACCUCGGGAAACUGAGGAUAAACCGCGAUAGGUCAUCACUUCUGGAAUGGGUAAUGACUUAAAUCUAUAUGGCCCCUGAAUUGGACUGCGGCCAAUCAGGCUGUUGGUGAGGUAAUGGCCCACCAAACCUGUAACCGGUACGGGCUCUGAGAGGAGGAGCCCGGAAAUGGGCACUGAAACAAGGGCCCAGGCCCUAUGGGGCA